rnacentral:rRNA from 1 species
UACGUAGGGUGCAAGCGUUGUCCGGAAUUAUUGGGCGUAAAGAGCUCGUAGGCGGUUCGUCGCGUCGGCUGUGAAAUCCCGAGGCUCAACCUCGGGUCUGCAGUCGAUACGGGCGGACUGUAGUACUGCAGGGGAGACUGGAAUUCCUGGUGUAGCGGUGAAAUGCGCAGAUAUCAGGAGGAACACCGGUGGCGAAGGCGGGUCUCUGGGCAGUUACUGACGCUGAGGAGCGAAAGCGUGGGGAGCGAACAGG